UACGUAGGGUGCGAGCGUUAAUCGGAAUUACUGGGCGUAAAGCGUGCGCAGGCGGUUUUGUAAGCCAGAUGUGAAAUCCCCGGGCUUAACCUGGGAAUGGCAUUUGGGACUGCAAGGCUGGAGUUUGGCAGAGGAGACUGGAAUUCCCGGUGUAGCAGUGAAAUGCGUAGAUAUCAGGAGGAACACCAGUGGCGAAAGCGGCUCACUGGCCGGAAUCUGACACUGAGGUGCGAAAGCUAGGGUAGCAAACGGG
rnacentral:rRNA from 1 species